ACAGGGAUUGCCCUAGUAACGGCGAGUGAAGCGGCAACAGCUCAAAUUUGAAAUCUGGCGUCUUUGGCGUCCGAGUUGUAAUUUGCAGAGGGCGCUUUGGCAUUGGCAGCGGUCCAAGUUCCUUGGAACAGGACGUCACAGAGGGUGAGAAUCCCGUACGUGGUCGCUAGCCUUUACCGUGUAAAGCCCCUUCGACGAGUCGAGUUGUUUGGGAAUGCAGCUCUAAAUGGGAGGUAAAUUUCUUCUAAAGCUAAAUACUGGCCAGAGACCGAUAGCGCACAAGUAGAGUGAUCGAAAGAUGAAAAGCACUUUGGAAAGAGAGUUAAAAAGCACGUGAAAUUGUUGAAAGGGAAGCGCUUGCAGCCAGACUUGCCUGUAGUUGCUCAUCCGGGUUUUUACCCGGUGCACUCUUCUAUAGGCAGGCCAGCAUCAGUUUGGGCGGUUGGAUAAAGGUCUCUGUCACGUACCUCCUCUCGGGGAGAACUUAUAGGGGAGACGUAAUGCAACCAGCCUGGACUGAGGUCCGCGCAUCUGCUAGGAUGCUGGCGUAAUGGCUGUAAGCGGCCCGUCUUGAAACACGGACCAAGGAGUCUAACAUCUAUGCGAGUGUUUGGGUGUCAAGCCCGAGCGCGUAAUGAAAGUGAACGGAGGUGGGAACCUUUCGGGGUGCACCAUCGACCGAUCCUGAUGUCUUCGGAUGGAUUUGAGUAAGAGCAUAGCUGUUGGGACCCGAAAGAUGGUGAACUAUGCUUGAAUAGGGUGAAGCCAGAGGAAACUCUGGUGGAGGCUCGCAGCGGUUCUGACGUGCAAAUCGAUCGUCAAAUUUGGGCAUAGGGGCGAAAGACUAAUCGAACUAUCUAGUAGUGGGUCCUGGCGG
rnacentral:rRNA from 1 species